rnacentral:rRNA from 1 species
ACUACGGGAGGCAGCAGUAGGGAAUAUUGCUCAAUGGGGGAAACCCUGAAGCAGCAACGCCGCGUGGAGGAUGAAGGUUUUAGGAUUGUAAACUCCUUUUGUGAGAGAAGAUAAUGACGGUAUCUCACGAAUAAGCACCGGCUAACUCCGUGCCAGCAGCCGCGGUAAUACGGAGGGUGCAAGCGUUACUCGGAAUCACUGGGCGUAAAGAGUGCGCAGGCGGGCUUGUAAGUCAGAUGUGAAAUCCUGUAGCUUAACUACAGAACUGCAUUUGAAACUAUGAGUCUAGAGUGUGGGAGAGGUAGGUGGAAUUCUUGGUGUAGGGGUAAAAUCCGUAGAUAUCAAGAGGAAUACUCAUUGCGAAGGCAGUUCACUGGACUGCAACUGACACUGAGGCUCGAAAGUGUGGGUAUCAAACAGGAUUAGAUACCCUAGUAGUC